rnacentral:rRNA from 1 species
UACGUAGGGGGCAAGCGUUGUCCGGAUUUAUUGGGCGUAAAGAGCGUGUAGGCGGCCGUACAGGUCAGCUGUGAAAACUCGAGGCUCAACCUCGAGACGUCGGUUGAAACCGUACGGCUAGAGUCCGGAAGAGGAGAGUGGAAUUCCCGGUGUAGCGGUGAAAUGCGCAGAUAUCGGGAAGAACACCCGUGGCGAAGGCGGCUCUCUGGGACGGUACUGACGCUGAGGUGCGAAAGCCAGGGGAGCGAACGGG